rnacentral:rRNA from 1 species
UACGAAGGGGGCUAGCGUUGCUCGGAAUCACUGGGCGUAAAGGGUGCGUAGGCGGGUCUUUAAGUCAGGGGUGAAAUCCUGGAGCUCAACUCCAGAACUGCCUUCGAUACUGUAGAGCUUGAGUUCGGGAGAGGUGAGUGGAACUGCGAGUGUAGAGGUGAAAUUCGUAGAUAUUCGCAAGAACACCAGUGGCGAAGGCGGCUCACUGGCCCGAUACUGACGCUGAGGUGCGAAAGCGUGGGGAGCAAACAGG